rnacentral:rRNA from 1 species
AUUGAACGCUGGCGGCAUGCUUUACACAUGCAAGUCGAACGGCAGCACGGGGGCAACCCUGGUGGCGAGUGGCGAACGGGUGAGUAAUACAUCGGAACGUGCCCGGCCGUGGGGGAUAACGUAGCGAAAGUUACGCUAAUACCGCAUACGAUCUGAGGAUGAAAGCGGGGGACCUUCGGACCUCGCGCGAUCGGAGCGGCCGAUGUCAGAUUAGGUAGUUGGUGGGGUAAAGGCCUACCAAGCCGACGAUCUGUAGCUGGUCUGAGAGGACGACCGGCCACACUGGGACUGAGACACGGCCCAGACUCCGACGGGAGGCAGCAGUGGGGAAUGUUGGACAAUGGGCGCAAGCCUGAUCCAGCCAUUCCGCGUGCAGGACGAAGGCCUUCGGGUUGUAAACUGCUUUUGUAUGGAACGAAAAGGCUCUGGCUAAUACCUGGGGGUCAUGACGGUACCGUAAGAAUAAGCACCGGCUAACUACGUG